UGGUCGGGGCCAUGGAGCUCAUGGAGGCAAGGCCGAAGAUAAGGAGUGGAUCCCUGUCACCAAGCUGGGCCGCCUGGUCAAGGACAUGAAGAUCAAGUCUUUGGAGGAGAUCUAUCUUUUCUCCCUGCCCAUCAAGGAGUCUGAGAUUAUUGACUUUUUCCUGGGGGCGUCCCUCAAGGAUGAGGUCUUGAAGAUCAUGCCUGUGCAGAAGCAGACUCGGGCUGACCAGCGCACCAGCUUUAAGGCAUUUGUAGCCAUUGGGGACUACAAUGGUCAUGUCGGGCUAGGUGUUAAGUGUUCCAAGGAGGUAGCCACUGCCAUCCGAGGUGCCAUCAUCUUGGCCAAACUCUCUAUUGUCCCUGUGCGGAGAGGCUACUGGGGGAACAAGAUUGGCAAGCCUCAUACUGUCCCAUGCAAGGUGACAGGCCGCUGUGGUUCUGUGCUGGUGCGUCUCAUCCCUGCCCCCAGGGGCACUGGCAUCGUGUCGGCUCCUGUGCCCAAGAAGCUACUGAUGAUGGCUGGUAUUGAUGACUGCUACACUUCAGCCAGGGGCUGCACUGCCACCCUGGGCAACUUUGCUAAGGCCACCUUUGAUGCCAUCUCCAAGACCUACAGCUACUUGACCCCCGACCUCUGGAAAGAGACCGUGUUCACCAAGUCUCCCUAUCAGGAAUUCACUGACCAUCUUGUGAAAACCCAUACCAGAAUCUCUGUGCAGAGGACCCAGGCUCCAGCUGUGGCUACAACAUAGGAUUUUUUAAAAAAUAUAAAAAUAAUAAAGUGAA